AAGUCGUAACAAGGUUUCCGUAGGUGAACCUGCGGAAGGAUCAUUAACACGUAUCCAACGUUAAACCCCCCGUGAACCUUCAGUGCGCUCGCACUUUCUUAGAAAAGGUAGCAAUCCCUGGUAAAUCAUUGCCGAACAGUUUUGAUUCAGGGACUUCUGCGUAGACUGUGCUUGAGCGUGAGGCAACUGUUAACAAUGGAUAUCUUGGUUCUC
rnacentral:misc_RNA from 1 species